UCCCAUCCUGGGGACCUUCCAUACAACCCUUCCGGCUAAAGAGAGAGAAAAGUGGGGCGAGGGCUGGGCACCUUGUAAACUCCCUUGUGUUGGCUUGCCUUACAUAAGCGGCUCAGGAAAAACUCCCUCGAGGGAGGUGUGGGCAAAGGAGAAGUUUAAUAAUGCAGCUGUCUUGGAAACAGCACAGGGUGUUAAGUCAUGAUGGCUAUAAAGAGUGAGGGUCACAGCAUUGUCAAAGGUGUGUGUGGGUGAGGGUCACAGCAUUGUCAAAGGUGUGUGUGGGUGAGGGUCACAGCAUUGUCAAAGGUGUGUGUGGGUGAGGGUCACAGCACUGUCAAAGGUGUGUGGUGGGUGAGGGUCACAGCAUUGUCAAAGGUGUGUGUGGGUGAGGGUCACAGCACUGUCAAAGGUGUGUGGUGGGUGAGGGUCACAGCAUUGUCAAAGGUGUGUGUGGGUGAGGGUCACAGCAUUGUCAAAGGUGUGUGGUGGGUGAGGGUCACAGCAUUGUCAAAGGUGUGUGGUGGGUGAGGGUCACAGCAUUGUCAAAGGUGUGUGUGGGUGAGGGUCACAGCAUUGUCAAAGGUGUGUGGUGGGUGAGGGUCACAGCAUUGUCAAAGGUGUGUGGUGGGUGAGGGUCACAGCAUUGUCAAAGGUGUGUGUGGGUGAGGGUCACAGCAUUGUCAAAGGUGUGUGUGGGUGAGGGUCACAGCAUUGUCAAAGGUGUGUGGUGGAACAGAGUGAAAGGCACCAUCGCUGCUAGGAGAGCAGCUCAAUAGCCUGGAGCCCUUCCUCAUCCCCUUGUCCUCAGAGAAGUAG